AUUGAACGCUGGCGGCAUGCUUUACACAUGCAAGUCGAACGGUAACAGGCCGCAAGGUGCUGACGAGUGGCGAACGGGUGAGUAAUGCAUCGGAACGUGCCCAGUCGUGGGGGAUAACGCAGCGAAAGCUGCGCUAAUACCGCAUACGAUCUAUGGAUGAAAGCGGGGGACCGUAAGGCCUCGCGCGAUUGGAGCGGCCGAUGUCAGAUUAGGUAGUUGGUGGGGUAAAGGCUCACCAAGCCGACGAUCUGUAGCGGGUCUGAGAGGCCGACCGGCCACACGGGUACUGAGACACGGCCCAGACUCCUACGGGAGGCAGCAGUGGGGAAUGUUGGACAAUGGGCGCAAGCCUGAUCCAGCAAUGCCGCGUGCAGGAAGAGGGCCUUCGGGUUGUAAACUGCUUUUGUACGGAACGAAACGGUCCUGGUUAAUACCUGGGGCUAAUGACGGUACCGUAAGAAUAAGCACCGGCUAACUACGUGCCAGCCGCCGCGGUAAAAC
rnacentral:rRNA from 1 species